AUUGAACGCUGGCGGCAGGCUUAACACAUGCAAGUCGAACGAGUGGCGGACGGGUGAGUAAUGUUUGGGAAUCUAGCUUAUGGAGGGGGAUAACUACUGGAAACUGUAGCUAAUACCGCGUACCAUAGGAUGAGCCCAAGUGGGAUUAGGUAGUUGGUGGGGUAAAGGCUCACCAAGCCGACGAUCCCUAGCUGGUCUGAGAGGAUGACCAGCCACACUGGGACUGAGACACGGCCCAGACUCCUACGGGAGGCAGCAGUGGGGAAUAUUGCGCAAUGGGCGCAAGCCUGACGCAGCCAUGCCGCGUGUAUGAAGAAGGCCUUCGGGUUGUAAAGUACUUUCAGUGGGGAGGCGUUAACCACAGAAGAAGCACCGGCUAACUCCGUGCCAGCAGCCGCGGUAAUUC
rnacentral:rRNA from 1 species